AUGAUGAGUCUCAUGACACGUGUGGUCCAGUUAGUCCUUGUUCUAAUUCAGACAAGGCAGGUGGCCUUGUACCCAUCUCUUCACUUCCUAGUAAAUGAAAGAUUUGGACUAGCUGAUCUCUGCAUCUCCUUCCAGUUCUGGCAUCGGAUAUGCUGCGACUCUGAGAGGACAUCUUCCCUGGGUCUGGCUCUUACUGUUCAGGUUCAACCACGUGAAGAUGACGUUGGUGUGGAGGGUCCAAUGCUCUGCAUUUGGUGCUUAAUCCAGAGGAGGAGUGUCUCAUGCAAAAGUGUAACUGUGCAUGCUAGAAGCCCAGGGAUUCCCCAAGAAGAGAUAGUAGCAGGGUUUGCAAAGACUUAUCAGAUUUUUCCUAGGAGACAGGGAUGUAAAUCUCUGAAAGUGAUCCCAGGCACUUUGAACCGUGACCAUCACUGGCAAUAGGACUGUCCCAGGCAGUAACUCCAAAUCCAAUCCACAUGCCCUGUAAAACAAGGAUGGG
rnacentral:lncRNA from 1 species